rnacentral:lncRNA from 1 species
ACUGUGGGGGCGAGCAGGGUCUCUGGAGUCCGACACCUGACACUGCCCCCCCGGGCCUUAGCCAUUUGCAACAGAGAGGGUCCCGGCGCCCUGGACCCCAGUCUUGGGGCCAGGGUGACUCACAGCGGUGUCCCCUCCCCCUCGCCACACAGACGUCUCCGCCUACCCCCAACAAUCUCAGCGACGCCGUGGGCUCUGCGACUCCGCCGUCUGCUGGGGGAUGCUGGGGCCCAUGCCCUUCUCCCGCCCCAGCGGGCCAGGCCGCCCCCUGCCCAGUCUUCAGGCUUGCCUUGCUGCACCGGGUCGCCUCGUGAGGUGAGGAAGGAUGCAACCUCGGAACGUGGAGCCGGAGACCCAGGACAGCCGAGGGACCGGCCGAGGGUCCGGGGUGAGAGAGGGUCCGAGGAGUCGGGGUCCUGCCCUGCCCUGGCGUGCUGCAUUGUAGAAGGAGAGAGCACACUCAGAAACAGCACAAGCACUUGUUUGAACUCAAGGCUGACCCAUUUAUUUAAUGCUCCUUCAAAGGCCAACUAGAAGGCAUCAUUUCUCAGGCAAGAGAAGGUGCUUAACUAUGGCUUAGAGAAAUUGAAAGAGCCAGCGCCUUCUGAUUUGAAGCUGAGGCAGCAGGGCAUCAAGGAGGGUGUGACUCGUCCAAAGGUACGGCUCACUGUGGUGAAGCUGGAACUGGACAUAGCCCCACCACAGCCUCGUGUGUCAUGGGUCACAAGGAAGUCAGCAUAUAUUUUGUUACUGGAAAGAAAACUCACAAGUAAUUGAUGUUUUGGAAUUGGACGUCUUAUUGGUUGGUAACUGAGUUUAUGAUCACAGUAGGACUGUCUGAGAAAACAGGUAGUUUAUUAGGGAUUCUUACUGUGACAGAUAAUAAGAUGGGUGAAAAGGUUUUCUGAGAACAGUCAGUGUCUCUUAUCUGAGAUACAGAAUACUUCCCCCUGGAAUAUGAUUAUUGAAAGCAUGCAAACUAGAUCUGGAGGAAUUUUCCAAAAAGCAUACUGGACUUGGAAUCAAAGAAGACAAAUUUUUAAUAAAUUAAUCUAAGAUUUCUCAAAAACUUGGAACUCCUGAUGUUUUAGGCAGAACAGUUCCUUGUUAUGCGGGGGCUUUCCUAUGGGUUGGAAGGCUAACACCAACUUCCGGCCCCUCCUUACCAGAGACUACCAAAAGUGCACCUGGAUGUUGCCGAGUCAUCUGUAGGAUGAGAGAGCUCAGUGGAGAACCAGUCACGCAGAUAAAUCUGGGGCUUAAGGCUUCAGGGAGAGGUACAUAUUAUUGUUUCCUAUUAUAAACACAAUAAAUAUUAAUAUUUAUAAAAUAUGGAAACAUAUGUUACUCAAAUAAUACCAAAUUA